GCAGGCAUAGUUUAACAAAAACACUAGAUUGUGAUUCUGAAGAUAAGGGUUAGAAUCCCCUUGCCAGCC
rnacentral:tRNA from 1 species